UGCAAUUCAGGACUAGAUUUCUUUUCAGUGUUUGAUCAAAAGCUGGUCUAGUAUACAAAUCUAUUUUGGUUGAUCAUUCUGUCCGUUUUGUGUUUUGCCUUUUUGGAUCUCAACUUCAUCUCCUUGUAGUCCUGGAUAUUGACCUUGUAUUGUUGCUGUGUUAUGUCUAUCUUUUUACUCUUUGCUAACAUUGGACUUUCUAGUUACGUUUUUAGAAACGAU
rnacentral:lncRNA from 1 species